rnacentral:tRNA from 1 species
GCCCAGCUAGCUCAGUUGGUAGAGCAUGAGACUCUUAAUCUCAGGGUCGUGGGUUCGAGCGCCACCUUGUGUC